GACAGCAGAGGAGAUCGCUCCAAUUUGUGUGUACAAUUCAGUGAUUAGGAAUGUCUGUGUCUUUGCAAAUCGGCUGCAGAGGUUCCAGAGGUGGCUCUUUGUUCUAUCGCAGAAAGCAAUGAAGACCCAUAAGACACAAGCGAGUGUUGGCAACUGGUCGAAAUUUACUCUGCUGUCAUCAGGGAUGGAAAUCAAAAUGUGCUGAUUGUACCUAGCCAGUGAAAAACUUGUAUACUCAAAUACAAAUAAAUGUACCGAAAACAGAUUG